GGGUUCAGAACGUCGUGAGACAGUUCGGUCCCUAUCCGUCGCAGGCGUAGGAAAUUUGAGAAGACCUGUCCUUAGUACGAGAGGACCGGGAUGGACGUACCUCUGGUGUACCAGUUGUCCUGCCAAGGGCAUGGCUGGGUAGCUAUGUACGGAAUGGAUAAGCGCUGAAAGCAUCUAAGCGCGAAGCCAACUUCAAGAUAAGAUUUCCCACCGCAAGGGUAAGACCCCAGAAAGACUAUCUGGUUGAUAGGUCGAAGGUGUAAGUGCAGCAAUGUAUUUAGCUUAUCGAUACUAAUAGGUCGAGGACUUGACCAAU
rnacentral:rRNA from 1 species